AUAAACCGGAGGAAGUGGGAGUGACGUCAAGUCAGCAUGGCCUUUAUAUCCUGGGCUACACACACGCUACAAUGGGAAGGGACAAUAGGUUGCGAAGCCGCGAGGCGGAGCCAAUCCAGCAAAACUUCCCUCAGUUCAGAUUGCAGGCUGCAACCCGCCUGCAUGAAGUUGGAGUUGCUAGUAAACGCAGGUCAGCCAUACUGCGUUGAAUACGUUCCCGGGGCUU
rnacentral:rRNA from 1 species